rnacentral:lncRNA from 1 species
GUUCCUCCCUCCCGUGUCGCUGUUCCUCCCCCCCGUGUCGCUGUUCCUCCCGUGUCUGUAUUCCUC